UUCAGGCAUGUAGUCCAGGUGAGCAUAAUUACAGAGAUAAAUGGGCCAGGUAAGUGACAGUGGCUUAUGGCAUACUGCCAUGGGACAGGGCAUUUGUUGUGGAAGUCCCAGUGUAGCUACGCCCCAUAUACUCUAGAAGCACACGCGCUUCCUCUGAGAUAAGCAGAGAAGUGAGUGCCUUGGGCAAGUGUCGAGCUGCAGGAUGAGAAAUGGUGCACCUGUGUGCUGUCUAAAGAUAGGCUAGCAGUGCAGGGCCAGGGAGCAGACUCCAGAGGACCCAUCCGUCUCAAUCGAAGGCUGCAGCUGACACCUUACAAAGAGGUACAAUUAAUAAGGACAUUAUCCGUCGGCAGGCAACAAUGGGGGCCUGACGCACAGACACUAACCCCUGGAGGUCUGGAGAGUAAGGGGAGGGAUGGCAGGCCUGCAGGCCUUUAGAACAAGGCUCAUUAGGAGCAAUUUCUCCACAACAUGAAAUACUAUCCCAUAAUAGAGCCAUCUUUUCAGUCAAACCAUUAUCAGCUUCUCUGUUUGGAUUGGGUCAUUUUCAAGGAUCAAUCAUACGUUUGUCAGGGGCUGCUGAAACAUGUUUCUUGUUGGAAGAAAAAAAAUGUCUAUAGACAAAGACCCCCCAUUUCUUUUUGUGAUAAAAUGUGUGUCCUUGAAUCAAUUUUUUAUUAAGUUCCUAUUAUAACACAAGGGUGAAAACUGAGGCAUUGCACAUUUCCAAACCAUUUUAAUCACACUUUCUGAGAACGUAACAGAUUUUAUGGAGAAAAACAAAAACAAGAGUCAACUAAUUAAGAAAAAAAAAAAACUUGUCUUUUCUUAAAAGCAUUUUUUAAUCUUAUUUAAAUUAUGUUAGUUCUUUUUAGAAGAAGUUUGCAAUUAGUGAUUUUUUAAUAUCAAUGUUAAGCCACUUUUGUAAUAAAAAGUAUCGUUAUAUUGCAACAUAGAGUGAAUAACAACAUUUUUGCAACAGUCUACUUUAUUCAGGAACAAACAACACUUAUUUAAAAUGAUGCCAUGCCAUCAUUCAUGAUAAGAGAGGACCGGUGGUCCACCCGCCUGACAUUUUCAGUGAUCUGGAAGGUUGUUGCUGGUCAGUGGACAGUCAACAAAUGCCGAACACUCAUGGUCUAGGGUCAGAUGUAGAUUGCACCAACAGAGGAGGUCACUCAGCUGGAAAAGAAAAACAGAGGAGAGUGAAAAGUUUGUGGGCUCAUAUGGAUUUUGAGGAAUAAAUCAUUCUCCACAAACAAAACACUUACUGUUAUACCCAACAGUGCAGCAUGGUAAAUCAAGGCCGUGUCAAUCCUGAGUGCUUUUAGUGAGGUACGUAAGUGUAUAUUAAAUAAACCAAAGCCUAAUCUGUGCUUAACUCUUCCCCAGUUAUUUGGAAAGUCAAGAGUUCCUUUGCCUAUUAUUGGUUUUAUUUUAUGGUACAUUCCAUGGGGAUGGAUUGAGCGUGGAUUAACAGUGCGAUCAAUGUUUAGAUUUGAGUCUGGCUUUGAGAGUAGAGGAAAAUGAAUAGGAAAUGCUGUCAAACCUUUAUCGACCCACCCCUAAGACUUGCUUUUAUUGCAGGCAGAAAAAUAUUGUGAUGAGUAGCUAAUCUCCCAUUUUAAACACAACCUU